AUGAGACACUACAAAGUAUUCUACCACUGUGUUUACUGCUUUAUCCUUCUCCAAAUAUAUGGUGGAAGUCACGUAUUACCAAGGUAUCAUUGCGGGAAUUUGGUGACUUCUCUUAUGGUGACUUCAUUUUCUUCUACUUCCCUGGUAACUUUAGUUUAUGGUAACAAUUUGAAAACACAUUUUGUUAUUUCUGAUACCUGCCCCUAAUGAUGUUCUUUAGAUAUGGGUAAAAUUAAUACAAUUAUUUAGAAAUGAUAGUAUAUUAGAUUGUUAUAUCAUUUGGAACAUGUACACAAACUGACUAUACAAUGAUGUCUUUUUGUUUUGAACAGAAAAGUAACAUAUUGCAAAUUACCAUCGUUAAGUCAAAUCUGGCCAAUAACCCUGUCUGUUGGCCUAUUAUUUCACUAUUUGUAGCGAAAAGUAAAGAUCACUUUUAGCAUUUCAA